rnacentral:rRNA from 1 species
CCUACGGGAGGCAGCAGUGAGGAAUAUUGGUCAAUGGGCGGAAGCCUGAACCAGCCAAGUAGCGUGCAGGAUGACGGCCCUACGGGUUGUAAACUGCUUUUAUACGGGAAUAACGCGCCUUACGUGUAGGGCUUGGCAUGUACCGGAGGAAUAAGGACCGGCGAAUGCCGUGCCAGCAGCCGCGGUAAUACGGAAGGUCCGGGCGUUAUCCGGAUUUAUUGGGGUUAAAGGGAGCGUAGGCCGCAUGUCAAGCGUGCGUUUAAAUGUCCGGGCUCAACCCGGGCCUUGCAGCGCGAACUGGCGUGCUUGAGUCCGCGGAAAGCAGGCGGAAUUCGUCGUGUAGCGGUGAAAUGCUUAGAUAUGACGAAGAACCCCGAUUGCGCAGGCAGCUUGCUGCAGCGGAACUGACGCUGAUGCUCGAAAGCGCGGGUAUCGAACAGGAUUAGAUACCCUUGUAGUC